GGGAAAUCCAAUACCCCCUGACACGUGAGCUAGGUUAACUAUUAUUUUCUUAUUCGCUCCGAAAACUUGCAGUUGCAGUAUCGUUGUCAUUUCAAUAUUAAUUUCAAUUUCAUAUAAAUACUCUGACCCUCGCUGAUAGUGAGCAUCAUUUAACAAAAUGAAUUUCUACGGCAUAUUUGCAGUUGUUUUGGCCUUGUUGUCCUUGGUCAUGGCCAAUCCCAAUCCAAAUCCUCAUCCUGAACCAAAACCAUUGCCUGGCGGUGGUGGUGGCGGAGGCGGCGGAGGUGGUGGCAAGUAAAUUGCCUUAACUCUAGCUACUUGGAGGACAAUGCCAUUUAAAAUUGUUAUAAUAUUUGUUCAAUAAAAAAAUUUAAAAAUGCUUAA